rnacentral:rRNA from 1 species
UACGUAGGGCGCAAGCGUUGUCCGGAAUUAUUGGGCGUAAAGAGCUCGUAGGCGGCUUGUCACGUCGGGUGUGAAAGCCCGGGGCUUAACCCCGGGUCUGCAUUCGAUACGGGCUAGCUAGAGUGUGGUAGGGGAGAUCGGAAUUCCUUGUGUAGCGGUGAAAUGCGCAGAUAUCAGGAGGAACACCGGUGGCGAAGGCGGAUCUCUGGGCCAUUACUGACGCUGAGGAGCGAAAGCGUGGGGAGCGAACAGG